AACUGGUUCAUAGGGUGAUUUUGCGCUCUCACUGGGCUUCUGCAAAUCUUCCCAUGUAAAUUCUGGGGACUUUCCAUAUCCGGAUAUCACUGAAGCUAUUCCACAGGGAGUAUACCCAAGGCAGGAUGACGUAGGCCUACAACUAGCUCUCCCCUCAUUGACUUUGUUAAGGAGAGGUCAGCAUUGUGUGCUAACAAAUGACAUCAGUAGUCAAAAGGUGGUUCUGGCUGAACAUGAGACAAGCGCCUGUUUUGUAAAUAAAAAAUGCAAAUGAUACCCCAAAAUUCACAUGAAUCCUAGCAGCAUGCUAAUCAUGCAUCAAAGCCUGUUGAAAACUAAGUAUGUAAGUACAUGUAAGUGAUGUGAAAUGGCUAGCUAGUUAGCGGGAUGCGCGCUAAUAGCGUUUCGAUUGGUGUCCUUCGAGCCCAGGGAGGAGCGGGACGGAAGCUAUAGGGUUACAUUGAUGCUGUUGACCCGCAUCACUGGUUGCUGCGGAAAAGGAGGAGAUCAAAAGUGGGGACCUGAGCCCUAGGACCAUGCCCCAGGACUACCUGACAUGAUUACUCCUUGCUGUCCCCAGUCCACCUGGCCAUGCUGCUGUUCCAGUUUCAACUGACCUGAGCCCUAGGACCAUGCCCCAGGACUACCUGACAUGAUGACUCCUUGCUGUCCCCAGUCCACCUGGCCAUGCUGCUGCUCCAGUUUCAACUUCCACCUGACUGUGCUGCUGCUCCAGUUUCAACUGUUCUGCCUUAUUAUUAUUCGACCAUGCUGGUCAUUUAUGAACAUUUGAACAUCUUGACCAUGUUCUGUUAUAAUCUCCACCUGGCACAGCCAGAAGAGGACUGGCCACCCCACAUAGCCUGGUUCCUCUCUAGGUUUCUUCCUAGGUUUUGGCCUUUCUAGGGAGUUUUUCCUAGCCACCGUGCUUCUACACCUGCAUUGCUUGCUGUUUGGGGUUUUAGGCUGGGUUUCUGUACAGCACUUUGAGAUAUCAGCUGAUGUACGAAGGGCUAUAUAAAUAAAUUUGAUUUGAUUUGGGCAUCUGGGGCUGUAUGUAUCAAGUGUCUCAGAGUUAGAAUGCUGAUUUAGGGUCAGAUAUUAUUUUUAAAUCACAACUAAUAAGACCACAUGGACAGGGUGGACCUGAUCCUAGAUCAGUACCUCUAGUCUGAGACUCUUGAUGUAUACAGACCCGGAUAUGAUAUCCCACCCUGUAUUCAUCUGCUGUGGCUCUCUCCCUGGUAGAUUCGGGAGUGUCACCAUUUUUGUACCCUCAUAUCAAUGUUUGUCCAGGCUUAGAGGAGCGUCUUUCUUUGGGUAUCCUUGUAUGCACUGACCUGGCCCGCUUUUGGUCUGCCUCACCCCUGCUUUGGAAGUGAUAUCCUGGGUUGAGGGUUGAGCAUGUCCUCCUGGGGCUGAGAUCCAGCCGGCAGCCCAGACAUGGUUGGAAGUGGCCCUUAGGAAGUGUGGCUCUAUUGAGGGGCAAGCUGACUUACCGUUCCCCCUCUUGCCCCCCGCGGUCACUCCUCAAGCUGUGAUGAAUGUGCCAAGUCCCAGUGUGUGACACGGCUUUCCUCGCUUCGCUGACUCACCCGGGUGAAAGAGACACACUAAACCCUCAUCUGGCCCUCUCUCUUUUUUUCUUUCUUUCUUUCUUUCUCUCCCACUCUCUCCUCCACUCCCUUUAUUUGCAUGGUAUAACAGGGAUAGGAAUGAUUUUAAAUGGAAAUGAAUCCCAGACCUUGUGUGUGUUUGUGUGUGUGUGUGUCCAUGCAUGUGUCCGUGUGUGUGUGAUAAACCAAGGGCCUGCCUGUGUUCAAUGUAGAUUAAGAUUUCGCUGGGGUCAGCAGAUUAAUUUAUGUUCCCUCUUCGAAGGAAUUUCCAGCUGUAACUCAUAGCUUUGUAGUAGUUGUGUAAAUAUUAUUUAUUUGGUUUAGUGUGUGUGUGUGUGUGUAUUUGAAUAUUUGUGUAUUACUGUGAGCAUGCUGCUAGGUGGCAACUCCCAUCUUCUCCGAUAUAUCAUUAAAAAAGGAACACCACCAAGGUUCUUGUCAACAUGUGAAGUGUAUGCCAACAUCUGUGACCGACAUGUACUGGGCUGGUGAGGUAAACAUAUCUACAGGGCAUUUUAAAAGCCUUUUUGUUUUUUUAAUCACUUUACUGCUCCAAUUGAAAUAUUAUUGUUAUAACACGUCCCGAUUCAUGGUGAUUCCAAGUAAAUGAGACACGUUGCCGGACAGAGCAACCAAAGCCAUCCACACUUAAGAUAAAGUUAAACGUUUUAUACCUCAUCAGCGUGGACAGCUAGUGUAGCGCCCAUUUUAUAACACAAUCUAUCAAUGGCUAACCAUUAUCAGACAGUGUGUCAAUGCCUAUAAUGUUUAAAGGCCUCAAACCCACGUUGAUCCAACAUUGAGGCUCUCUGUAGCAAACUCCUUUAGUCCACUUUCAGUAAGCAAACAUUGUGGAAUUUCACAGUUAGAAAUGUUAGAAAUAAGGUGACAGGAUUCUUUAUACUACAUGUCAGAGAAGCAUGUUUGUUCAAUAUAAUAUUUUUCUAACUGAAUAAGUUUUGCCCCGCUGAACACAGACUGCCCUGGAUUGGUCAGAGAGAGAGCAUGCUGUUUUACCGGAAUGAGGCUGUGCUAUACUGCACUCCCACAGUGAACAGAGAGGGGGAGGGAGAGAGAAGGAGG
ensembl:lncRNA